UGUGGUUUAAUUCCAAGCAACGCUAACAACCUUACCACGCCUUGACAUCUAAUGAACUUUCCAUACAUGCGAUUGGAGCCUUCCGGAGCAUUGAGACAGGUGCCGCCUGGCUGCCGUCAGCUCGUGUCGUGAGAUGUUGGGUUAAGACCCGUACCGAGCGCAACCCUUGUCCUUAGUUAUCAUCAUCUCAUGGUGGGCACUCUAACGACACUGCCGGUGACAAACCGGAGGAAGGUGGGGAUCACGUCAUGUCAUCAUGGCCCUUACGGCCUGGGCUACACAC
rnacentral:rRNA from 1 species